UAGUCCACGCCCUAAACGAUGGAUGCUAGGUUUGCGGGGUAUCGACCCCCUGUGAGCCGUAGGUAACCCAUUAAGCAUCCCGCCUGGGGACUACGACCGCAAGGUUAAAACUCAAAGGAAUUGACGGGGGCCCGCACAAGCAGCGGAGCGUGUGGUUUAAUUCGAUGCUAAGCGAAAAACCUUACCAGGGCUUGACAUGUAGGUGGUACUGAUCCGAAAGGUGAGGGACCCGCAAGGGAGCCUACACAGGUGCUGCAUGGUUGUCGUCAGCUCGUGCCGUGAGGUGUUGGGUUAAGUCCCGCAACGAGCACAACCCUUGUCGCUAGUUACACUCUCUAGCGAGACUGCCCCUAAAAGGGAGGAAGGCGGGGAUGAUGUCAAAUCAUCAUGGCUCUUACGUCCUGGGCUACACACACGCUACAAUGGCCAGUACAGACGGUUGCUAAGUCGCGAGGCGGAGCCAAUCCGACAAAGCUGGUCUCAGUUGGGAUUGCAGGCUGAAACUCG
rnacentral:rRNA from 1 species